AAUGUCACCACUGGAUGUAAAGAAUCGCUGGAUGGCUGUAGUGAAGAUAGCAAUCCUGUUCUAUGGGAUAUUCCUCAGUAACUACACAUGUCAGAGCACAGGCACAAAUGAGACAAAUGAAUGCAGACAAAAAAAUCUGAUGUUUGUCAGCGAAAGAAAACUAUUCAGUGAAGUAAAUUUUCCAUCAGAGGUUGUCUAUCACAAGAUCAAUGGACAUAAACUCUGCUUCAACAUCCGAAAAAACCAAAACACACAUGCAGA